GACGUAGGGCGCGAGCGUUGUCCGGAUUUAUUGGGCGUAAAGGGCUCGUAGGCGGUUUGUCGCGUCGGGAGUGAAAACACCGGGCUUAACUCGGUGCUUGCUUUCGAUACGGGCAGACUAGAGGUAUUCAGGGGAGAACGGAAUUCCUGGUGUAGCGGUGAAAUGCGCAGAUAUCAGGAGGAACACCGGUGGCGAAGGCGGUUCUCUGGGAAUAUCCUGACGCUGAGGAGCGAAAGUGUGGGGAGCGAACAGG
rnacentral:rRNA from 1 species